CGUGUAGGCGGCUUUGCAAGUCCGUUGUGAAAACUCGAGGCUCAACCUCGAGACGCCGGUGGAAACUGCAAAGCUAGAGUCCGGAAGAGGAGAGUGGAAUUCCUGGUGUAGCGGUGAAAUGCGCAGAUAUCAGGAAGAACACCCGUGGCGAAGGCGGCUCUCUGGGACGGUACUGACGCUGAGACGCGAAAGCGUGGGGAGCGAACA
rnacentral:rRNA from 1 species